GCGGCAGCGACACUCAGGUGUUGUUGGGUAGGGGAGCGUUCUGUAAGCCUGCGAAGGUGGCCUGUGAGGGUUGCUGGAGGUAUCAGAAGUGCGAAUGCUGACAUAAGUAACGAUAAAGCGGGUGAAAAGCCCGCUCGCCGGAAGACCAAGGGUUCCUGUCCAACGUUAAUCGGGGCAGGGUGAGUCGACCCCUAAGGCGAGGCCGAAAGGCGUAGUCGAUGGGAAACGGGUUAAUAUUCCCGUACUUGGUGUUACUGCGAAGGGGGGACGGAGAAGGCUAUGUUGGCCGGGCGACGGUUGUCCCGGUUUAAGCGUGUAGGUGUGUGUUCCAGGUAAAUCCGGUU
rnacentral:rRNA from 1 species